AGAAUGAACCGGCGAGUUACGUUAUGAUGCGAGGUUAAGUUGAAGAGACGGAGCCGUAGGGAAACCGAGUCUGAAUAGGGCGACUUAGUAUCAUGAUGUAGACCCGAAACCUAGUGACCUAUCCAUGAGCAGGGUGAAGGUGUGGUAAGACGCACUGGAGGCCCGAACCAGGACACGUUGAAAAGUGUUUGGAUGACUUGUGGAUAGCGGAGAAAUUCCAAACGAACUGGGAGAUAGCUGGUUCUCUCCGAAAUAGCUUUAGGGCUAGCGUCGAAAUGUAAGUGUAUUGGAGGUAGAGCACUGUUUGGGUGAGGGGUCCGUCUAGGAUUACCAAUCUCAGAUAAACUCCGAAUGCUAAUACACAUGUUCGGCAGUCAGACUGCGAGUGCUAAGAUCCGUAGUCGAAAGGGAAACAGCCCAGACCAACAGCUAAGGUCCCAAAAUAUAUGUUAAGUGGAAAAGGAUGUGGGGUUGCACAGACAACUAGGAUGUUAGCUCAGAAGCAGCUAUCAUUCAAAGAGUGCGUAAUAGCUCACNNNNNNNNNNCGAAAAUGUACCGGGGCUAAACAUAUUACCGAAGCUUUGGAUUGAUAUUUUAUCAAUGGUAGGAGAGCGUUCUUAACCGCGAUGAAGGUAUACCGUGAGGAGUGCUGGAGCGUUAAGAAGUGAGAAUGCCGGUAUGAGUAGCGCAAGAUAAGUGAGAAUCUUAUCCACCGUAAGACUAAGGUUUCCAGGGGAAGGCUCGUCCGCCCUGGGUUAGUCGGGACCUAAGGCGAGGCCGAAAGGCGUAGUCGAUGGACAACUGGUUGAUAUUCCAGUACUAGAUAUGAUCGUGAUGGAGGGACGCAGUAGGCUAAGAGAUGCCAGUUAAUGGAUUCUGGUCUAAGCAGUGAGGUGUGAGAUGUGUCAAAUGCAUUUCUCUUUAACAUUGAGCUGUGAUGGGGAAGCAACUACGGUUGCGAACUCUCUGAUGUCACACUGCCAAGAAAAGCUUCUAGCGUAAAGUCAUAUCUACCCGUACCGCAAACCGACACAGGU
rnacentral:rRNA from 1 species